UGAGGAAUAUUGGUCAAUGGGCGGGAGCCUGAACCAGCCAAGUCGCGUGAGGGAAGACGGUCUUACGGAUUGUAAACCUCUUUUGCCGGGGAGCAAAGGGCGCCACGCGUGGCGUUUCGAGAGUACCCGGAGAAAAGCAUCGGCUAACUCCGUGCCAGCAGCCGCGGUAAUACGGAGGAUGCGAGCGUUAUCCGGAUUUAUUGGGUUUAAAGGGUGCGUAGGCGGGCCGGUAAGUCAGCGGUAAAAUAGCGGGGCUCAACCCCGUCGAGCCGUUGAAACUGCCGGUCUUGAGUGGGCGAGAAGUGCGCGGAAUGCGUGGUGUAGCGGUGAAAUGCAUAGAUAUCACGCAGAACCCCGAUUGCGAAGGUAGCGCACCGGCGCCCUACUGACGCUGAAGCACGAAAGCGUGGGGAUCGAACAGGAUUAGAUACC
rnacentral:rRNA from 1 species